UGGGCAACCUGCCCCAGACUCAGGGAUAACCCCGGGAAACCGGGGCUAAUACCCGAUACUCCGAUCGAACCACAUGGCUCGAUCGGGAAAGCUCCGACGGUCUGGGAUGGGCCCGCGGCCUAUCAGCUUGUUGGUGGGGUAACGGCCUACCAAGGCGACGACGGGUAGCCGGCCUGAGAGGGCGACCGGCCACACUGGGACUGAGACACGGCCCAGACUCCUACGGGAG
rnacentral:rRNA from 1 species